GACCUGACCGCUAUCGGGGUGGGGCUAAGCCAUGCGAGUCGCGCGCCCGGGGGCCCGGGCGCGGCGCACGGCUCAGUAACACGUGCCCAACCUAACCUCGGGAGGGGGACAACCCCGGGAAACUGGGGCUGAUCCCCCAUAGGGGAAGGCCGCUGGAAGGCCCCUUCCUCUAAAGGGAUCUCGGGCGAUCUCCCGAGGUCCGCCCGAGGGUGGGGGCACGGCCUAUCAGGUAGUUGGCGGGGUAACGGCCCGCCAAGCCGAAGACGGGUAGGGGCGGUGAGAGCCGUGAGCCCCGAGAUGGGCACUGAGACAAGGGCCCAGGCCCUACGGGGUGCAGCAGGCGCGAAUACUCCGCAAUGCGGGCAACCGCGACGGGGCCACCCCGAGUGCCGGGCGAAGAGCCCGGCUUUUGCCCGGUAUAAGGAGCCGGGCGAAUAAGCGGGGGGUAAGUCUGGUGUCAGCCGCCGCGGUAAUACCAGCCCCGCGAGUGGUCAGGGUGAUUACUGGGCUUAAAGCGCCCGUAGCCGGCCCGGCAAGUCGCUCCUGAAAUCCCCGGGCUCAACCCGGGGGCGGGGGGCGAUACUGCCGGGCUAGGGGGCGGGAGAGGCCGCCGGUACUCCGGGGGUAGGGGCGAAAUCCUAUAAUCCCCGGAGGACCACCAGUGGCGAAAGCGGGCGGCCAGAACGCGCCCGACGGUGAGGGGCGAAAGCCGGGGGAGCAAAGGGGAUUAGAUACCCCUGUAGUCCCGGCCGUAAACGAUGCGGGCUAGCUGUCGGCCGGGCUUAGGGCCCGGCCGGUGGCGUAGGGAAACCGUUAAGCCCGCCGCCUGGGGAGUACGGCCGCAAGRCUGAAACUUAAAGGAAUUGGCGGGGGGGCACCACAAGGGGUGAAGCUUGCGGCUUAAUUGGAGUCAACGCCGGAAACCUUACCCGGGGCGACAGCAGGAUGAAGGCCAGGCUAACGACCUUGCCGGACGAGCUGAGAGGAGGUGCAUGGCCGUCGUCAGCUCGUGCCGUGAGGUGUCCGGUUAAGUCCGGCAACGAGCGAGACCCCCACCCCUAGUUGCUUCCCCGCUCUUCGGGGCGGGGGGCACACUAGGGGGACUGCCGGCGUAAGCCGGAGGAAGGAGGGGGCCACGGCAGGUCAGUAUAGGGGCCUAUCCGCAAGGAGGGCCCCGCUGAGGCCCCGAAAGCCGUGGCCCCCCAGGUAGGGGUGUUUAAAAAUGAGAGGAGGGAGGAAGAACAUGAAGGUGUGGGAUUAUCUCUGCGGCUUGAUAGCAGCAGACGGCCACCUUGACGAAGAGGGGUAUAUCACUAUAUCGCAAAAAGAUAGGAGAUUUAUCGACAAAAUCGUCGCGUUGUUAAAAUCGGCGGAGAUCAAGAUCUCAUCGUUGUUUUACGACAAGGGCGCUGGCGUCUGGAAGAUCAAGAUCAAAGACGAGCGCCUUUAUCGCUAUUUAGUCAACAACGGCGUUAUCCCAGGGAAGAAGGCCCAUGUGUUGAGACCGCCGAGCUCCGCUGUUGAUCCGUUGUGGUAUAUAAUCGGCUUUAUCGACGGAGACGGCUGGGUAGAGCAGGUGGUGAAGAGGGCCGGAGAUAAAAGCUAUUACUACAUCCGCAUCGGGAUAAAAACUAAGAGCAAAGAGCUAAGAGAUUGGAUAGCGCAGACGCUAAACGAUCUAGGGAUAAGAGCCAGCAGAGCCGAUAAAAGCGACGGGUACGAGGUGCAUAUUGACGGCGUAGAGGCCUGGCGCCUCGUCCCGCACCUCCAGAACCCGACGCAUCUAGAAAGGGCACAGUCGGUCAAGGACAAUAGGCUCUCCCUCCUCUUUUGACCUUCCUCUUUCUCGACGCCCUACCUGGGGGCCGCGGCCGGGAGACCCCGGGGCUGCACGCGAGCUGCAAUGGCGGGGACAGCGGGAUCCGACCCCGAAAGGGGGAGGCAAUCCCGUGGAAUCCCUAGUAACCGCGUGUCACCAACGCGCGGUGAAUACGUCCCUGCCCCUUGCACACACCGCCCGUCGCACCACCCGAGGGGGUUCUCUGCGAGGCCCCUCGCUUGGGGCAACCCAGGUGGGGGGACGAGCAGAGAACCCCCGAGGGGGGUGAA
rnacentral:rRNA from 1 species